rnacentral:rRNA from 1 species
GACGAACGCUGGCGGCGUGCUUAACACAUGCAAGUCGAACGGAAAGGCCCUGCUUGCAGGGUACUCGAGUGGAGAACGGGUGAGUAACACGUGGGUGAUCUGCCCUGCACUUCGGGAUAAGCCUGGGAAACUGGGUCUAAUACCGGAUAGGAGCCAUUUUUAGUGUGAUGGUUGGAAAGUUUUUUCGGUGUAGGAUGAGCUCGCGGCCUAUCAGCGUGUUGGUGGGGUAAUGGCCUACCAAGGCGGCGACGGGUAGCCGGCCUGCGAGGGUGGACGGCCACAUUGGGACUGAGAUGCGGCCCAGACUCCUACGGGUGGCAGCAGUGGGGAAUAUUGCUCAAUGGGCGCCAGCCUGAUGCAGCGACGCCGCGUGUGGGAUGACGGCCUUCGGGUUGUAAACUCCUUUCGCUAGGGACGAAGCUUUUUGUGACGGUACCUAGAUAAGAAGCACCGGCUAACUACGUG